AACGCGAAGAACCUUACCAGGACUUGACAUGGAGGGGACGCGUACAGAGAUGUACGUUCCCGCGAGGGCCCCUUGCACAGGUGCUGCAUGGCUGUCGUCAGCUCGUGUCGUGAGAUGUUGGGUUAAGUCCCGCAACGAGCGCAACCCUCGCCUUUAGUUGCCAUCAGGUUUGGCUGGGCACUCUAAAGGAACUGCCGGUGACAAGCCGGAGGAAGGUGGGGAUGACGUCAAGUCCUCAUGGCCUUUAUGUCCAGGGCUACACACGUGCUACAAUGGUCGGUACAAACCGUCGCAAACCCGCGAGGGGGAGCUAAUCGGAAAAAGCCGGCCUCAGUUCGGAUUGGAGUCUGCAACCCGACUCCAUGAAGCUGGAAUCGCUAGUAAUCGCGGAUCAGAACGCCGCGGUGAAUACGUUCCCGGGCCUUGUACACACCGCGCAUA
rnacentral:rRNA from 1 species